UGCUAGAGUGAUGAUAAAGUAUCCUUAAGCUUGGUUGCGGACAUCUUGGUCACCUGUGUGAAUGGCCAAUGCAAGGUCUGGUCGUAGUUAAACUGACAGACU
rnacentral:snoRNA from 1 species